GAUAUUUAUCACUUGCUACACUGCGACCGAUGCACUUGUCGUUGGUUUUGCAGCUAACAGUGGUGUGGUGAAGAAGGAAUUGAAGAAAGUUUGAGAUGUAAAGAUAUAUGAGGAACUGUGGUGAAUGUGCAAGAAAGGAUUUGUGAAAGUUCGAGAAAUAAAGAAAUAGUUGGAACUGUGGUGAAGAUGGAAGAAAUAGAUGUUGAAAAGAUGAAAAUAACUUCUUUAGAGAAAUUUGUUUUUAUGUUGGAAAAGUGGUUGAAGGAGUUAAUUGGGAUUGUGUUUGUUAUCUGUGUUUUUAAUGUAAUUGUAAUAUCAAUGUUGAUGAAACUUGGUUGAUUUGUUGUAAGAAG
rnacentral:lncRNA from 1 species